ensembl:miRNA mir17-2 microRNA mir-17-2
GUCAAAGUAGUGUCAAAGUGCUUACAGUGCAGGUAGUUUGAUGACAUCUACUGCAGUGAAGGCACUUUCAGCGCUAUUCUGA